rnacentral:rRNA from 1 species
GAUGAACGCUGGCGGCGUGCCUAAUACAUGCAAGUCGAGCGAACGGACGAGAAGCUUGCUUCUCUGAUGUUAGCGGCGGACGGGUGAGUAACACGUGGAUAACCUACCUAUAAGACUGGGAUAACUUCGGGAAACCGGAGCUAAUACCGGAUAAUAUUUUGAACCGCAUGGUUCAAAAGUGAAAGACGGUCUUGCUGUCACUUAUAGAUGGAUCCGCGCUGCAUUAGCUAGUUGGUAAGGUAACGGCUUACCAAGGCAACGAUGCAUAGCUGACCUGAGAGGGUGAUCGGCCACACUGAAACUGAGACACGGUCCAGACUCCUACGGGAGGCAGCAGUAGGGAAUCUUCCGCAAUGGGCGAAAGCCUGACGGGGCAACGCCGCGUGAGUGAUGAAGGUCUUCGGAUCGUAAAACUCUGUUAUUAGGGAAGAACAUAUGUGUAAGUAACUGUGCACAUCUUGACGGUACCUAAGCAGAAAGCCACGGCUAACUACGU